rnacentral:rRNA from 1 species
UACGUAGGCAGCGAGCGUUGUUCGGAGUUAUUGGGUUUAAAGGGUGCGUAGGCGGUUCUAUAGGUCAGUGGUGAAAUCCGGCAGCUCAACUGUCGAUGUGCCAUUGAUACUGCAGAACUUGAGUACAGACGAGGUAGGCGGAAUUGACGGUGUAGCGGUGAAAUGCUUAGAUAUCGUCAAGAACACCGAUAGCGAAGGCAGCUUACUAGACUGUAACUGACGCUGAUGCACGAAAGUGUGGGGAUCAAACAGG